rnacentral:rRNA from 1 species
UCGUUAACGAACGAGACCUCGACCUGCUAAAUAGUCCGGCGAAUACUUCGGUAUUCGAUUGUUUUGACUUCUUAGAGGGACUAUCGGUGUGUAACCGAUGGAAGUUCGAGGCAAUAACAGGUCUGUGAUGCCCUUAGAUGUUCUGGGCCGCACGCGCGCUACACUGAUACGUUCAUCGAGCUUAUAACCUUGACUGACAGGUCUGGGUAAUCUUGUUAAACCGUAUCGUGCUGGGGAUAGAUCAUUGUAAUUAUUGAUCUUCAACGAGGAAUUCCUAGUAAUCGCGAGUCAUCAGCUCGCAAUGAUUACGUCCCUGCCCUUUGUACACACCGCCCGUCGCUAUUACCGAUUGAAUGGAUA